CAGCCAGCCCAGCAGAGCUGCACCUUCAACCUGCCUAGCAAGGAUCUACUCCCUGCCCGGCCCCCUUGAAAAGAGGCCUAAGAAGCAGGGGGCUGGCUAUUAUUUUUUGUUUGUUUGGCUGGUGCAGCAAAGGGAACUUGGCCCUGUGGGUCUCCUCCCCCACUGGCAACUCUCCUCCCAAUUGCUUUCAACUUCCCUGUCUUGGGAGGAAAUUUUGUCCUCCACCUUCCUGGUUUAUCAGAUCGUGGCAAAAAAAAAAAAUCAAACAAACCCCCACCCCCACCCCCUGGCUGUUAAGGAAGCAGGCAAAGACUGAGAGGAGGAUCCCAGGCCGGAGGGGGCCAGGUGUGGCUGGGAGAGAUGGGGACAGCGGAGGAGGAUUAUAACUUUGUCUUUAAGGUGGUCCUGAUUGGCGAGUCUGGUGUGGGGAAGACCAAUCUGCUCUCGCGCUUCACCCGCAAUGAAUUCAACCAUGACAGCCGUACCACCAUUGGCGUGGAGUUCUCCACCCGCACCAUCCUGGUGGGCAACGCCAUGGUGAAGGCACAGAUCUGGGACACCGCCGGGCUGGAGCGCUACCGUGCCAUCACCUCAGCGUAUUACAGGGGAGCAGUGGGCGCCCUCCUGGUUUUUGACAUCACCAAGCACCAGACCUACGACGUGGUGGAGCGCUGGCUGAAGGAGCUGUACGACCACGCCGAGGCCACCAUCAUCGUCAUGCUGGUGGGCAACAAGACAGACUUAGCCCAGGCCCGUGAGGUGCCGACCGAGGAGGCCAAGAUGUUUGCAGAAAACAAUGGGCUUCUGUUCAUCGAGACGUCUGCGCUGGACUCCACAAACGUCGAGCAGGCCUUCGAGACCAUACUGAGAGACAUUUUCAACAAAGUGCAGAAGCAGCAGCAGAGAAGCCCCCAGGACAACACGGUGUCGCUCUCCAGCGAGAACCCCCACGGCACCUCCCAGACCCAGGAGGAGAAGCGAGCGUGCUGCGUGAGCCUCUGAGAGCAGGGUGGGAGCCGGGCCGGGACUCGCCGUGGAGGCAUGAGCCCCUCCAUCUGCUUUGCUUUCUGACCAGGAGGAAUGCCCGUCCCCUCCCUCAACGCCUCGUAACUGCACCAAGCCAGGCCGGGGCUGGGCGACGGAAACACGUCUGCAAUUGAUCGGUCCCUUCGCUCCCUCCGCAAAGCUGUUACCCACCCCACACCUUGCAGGCAGCACCACUAGAGAAGGGGAUGCUGCAUAACCAGACCUCUGCCCCCUGGAGUCUGCCAAGCCACAGCAGGGGGAAUCUAGGUGGGAGGGGGGUCAGCUAGCCAAACUUCCCCCCAGCAGAGAUGAAGUCAGCCAUAGGAUCACACCCAUCUAUCUUAGUUACCUGAUCCUAUUACCACAGUGUCAGAGCAUCUUUUUAAAUGAAUUUAUCCUCGCAACCCUCUGUGGGAUAGGGCAGUGCUAUUAUCCCCAGUGUACAGAUGGGGAAACCGAGGCACAGGGAGACUAGGUGACAUGCCCAGGGUCACACAGGGCAUCUGUGGCAGAGCUGGGAAUUGAACCUGGGUCUCCCAAAUUCCAGGCUAGCGCCUUAACAGCUAGGCAGUCCUUCCUCUCUUCCUGCAGCCAUGAGGUUUCAAGGAAGGAAUUUAAAUAUCAAUAUAUUGGUCUGAUCCUGCCAUUGGAUCCACACAUGCUCCGAAUCUGGCCUCAACGCCGCUCAGCUCAGUGGGGCUUGCACCAGAUUCACACAGCUGCAUCUGAGGUCAGAAUCCAGCCCUCCCUGUCGAAGUCAGUGGAGGGUGCGGCCACAUGGCUCCAAUUCCAGGAUCGGAGCCACGAUUUUCACCCAGAUGCUGCUGCUUUAAACAUCCUGUCCAUUUCGCUGUCUCCCAUAACCUGUUCGUUCACCUAGUGGCAUGCGUACCUUACCGCUGUCCUCGCCCCUGGGUACCGAAUCACUUUCUCUGAAUAGACAGCCUCUAAAAAUACGCCCUGUACAGAAUGGCAAUACAGGAGUGAAGAGAAAGCAGACAUCUCGAGUUCCAGGGCUUGGGUUGCCUAAUUAGUCUUACCUUGGGCUUCAGCCUUGCUUUAAGGUCUGAGAUCUUGGAGAUGGGAGGGUGAAAUUGAGAGAGGAACUCUGUUAAAAUAACCCAGUGAAGGGCUUAGAUUUCAGAGGGGCUGAGCAUGCCUCCAGCUGGAAUUGUGACCACCUCACCAAAUCAUCCCUUCCGUCAAUAUACACUGAACAUGGGGCAACUGACUUCUGGCUGCUAUGGACUUGACCCAAAGCCCCUUGAUGUCACCAGGGUUCUCCCCAUGGAGUUCAAUGGGCUUUGGAUCCUGUUUAUAGAGAACGAAGUUGCGGGGGAGGAGGGGUUUGCUUGUAAUUAAUGGUUGAACGUCUGAGCUCUUCACGGGACCUCGACUGGAUUGUGAUCUCUGGGCAACCUGGGGAAGCCGGAGUCAUGUGCUGAUUUCAGUGGAGCAAAUCCACAGACACCAGAAUCUGGCCCUAUUGUCACUGAAGUCAAUGGGCCAUGUCUCAGCUGGUGUAAAUUGGCAAAACUCCACCCAAGUCAUGCGGAUAUACACCCACCAGGUGGGUUGACUCUGGCUCCGUGUGUGUCAAUGUAUCCGAGAUCAGACUCGGCCCACCACCGCUGGAGUUAGUGGGUUGACUCUGGAUUUGUACUGGUGUAUCUGGGAUCAGAAUCUGGCCAAUUGGAGGCCGUGGAGGUGCCUCUGGAUUUACACCAGUGCAAUUUAACUCAUCGGGGCAGAUUCUGUGCUGAGACAGAAACACUAAAUCCCUGUUAUGCCUCUCGUUCUUGUCUAAACGUGGCUUUUGCCUGCUGUUAAUCUAACCGCAGCAUCUUGUGACCAUCUGAAUUCAGUGGGAAUUAUUUAUAUGAUCGCUGGAGCAGGGCUGGAUCUUUUUGUACAGAUUGUCUCACGAGCAGCCCUGGCAAGGAAGUGUGCGUGAUGUGAUGGACUAUAGGACCCUGUCCCAAACAUUAAA